rnacentral:rRNA from 1 species
CCCUUAGAUGUUCUGGGCCGCACACGCGCUACACUGAAGGAGGCAGCGUGUACUCCUGGAUCGAAAGAUUUGGGUAACCCGCGAAUCUCCUUCGUGCUAGGGAUUGAGGUUUGCAAUUAUCCUUCAUGAACGAGGAAUUCCCAGUAAGUGCAAGUCAUAAGCUUGCGCUGACUACGUCCCUGCCCUUUGUACACACCGCCCGUCGCUACUACCGAUUGAAUGAUUUAGUGAGGACUUCGGACUGGGACCGAUGCGGCUUUCGGGCUGCGUCGGUAUUCUGGAAGGAUGUCCAAACUGUAUCAUUUAGAGGAAGUAAAANUCGUAACA